CUGGUGAAGACUGAGCCAGGGCUGGAGACUUCACCUGAUUUCUUGUCUUCUGGCCUCUCUCAUCUGCAGAAGAAGAACACCCCCUUUCAUGCCUUCCAAGUCUGCAUUUACAAUCUCUGAAGCAGCUGGUGAAAAGGGCAAAGGAAGAAGCAAAGGGACCGAUUGAACUUUGGAAUGCACCUGUCAAGGCAGUUGGGUGUUCCUGUUAGCAACAGGAGGCAGAAAUUGGCAAGAGUCCCAAGACUAUAAGCUUCAGAAGAGCAAGAGGAAUAGUGGAAGUCUACAUGCCAGCUAUCUGGAAGAUCUAAUUCACUCCUGAUGUGUAUCUAGUUUCCCAAGUGCACUCAGGUAAUUUGAUAUAAAUGAUUAAAGACAGAUGUUUCUAGUGGAGACCAAUGGGAACUUCAUCACAGAACAAAUUGCAUUCCCAAGGAAAGUACCAAGAAGACCUU